UUUUGCUUGCAAACUAAAGAUGGCGACCGGCGCACGGGUGAGUAACACGUAUCCAACCUGCCGAUAACUCGGGGAUAACCUUUCGAAAGAAAGAUUAAUAUCCGAUAGUAUAUUAAAACCGCAUGGUUUUACUAUUAAAGAAUUUCGGUUAUCGAUGGGGAUGCGUUCCAUUAGUUUGUUGGCGGGGUAACGGCCCACCAAGACUACGAUGGAUAGGGGUUCUGAGAGGAAGGUCCCCCACAUUGGAACUGAGACACGGUCCAA
rnacentral:rRNA from 1 species